rnacentral:rRNA from 1 species
CCUACGGGUUGCAGCAGUGGGGAAUAUUGGACAAUGGGGGCAACCCUGAUCCAGCCAUGCCGCGUGUGUGAAGAAGGCCUUUUGGUUGUAAAGCACUUUAAGCAGGGAGGAGAGGCUAAUGGUUAAUACCCAUUAGAUUAGACGUUACCUGCAGAAUAAGCACCGGCUAACUCUGUGCCAGCAGCCGCGGUAAUACAGAGGGUGCGAGCGUUAAUCGGAAUUGCUGGGCGUAAAGCGAGUGUAGGUGGCUCAUUAAGUCACAUGUGAAAUCCCCGGGCUUAACCUGGGAACUGCAUGUGAUACUGGUGGUGCUAGAAUAUGUGAGAGGGAAGUAGAAUUCCAGGUGUAGCGGUGAAAUGCGUAGAGAUCUGGAGGAAUACCGAUGGCGAAGGCAGCUUCCUGGCAUAAUAUUGACACUGAGAUUCGAAAGCGUGGGGAGCAAACAGGAUUAGAUACCCCAGUAGUC